UUAUUCCAAAUAACAACGAAAAGUUCAAAGGUACUGGAAUAGUUCAACUAGACUGGUCUUAGAAACGAGCCAACAAACAAGCAAAGAAGCCUAUGGUAACACGCACACCGAAACCAGUGCUGUCCUUCAGGAGUCGUGCAAGGAGCCGGUACCCAUGGGAAGUAAGCUCGGAUGAGAAAAGCGAGAACAGAGAGAUGAAGCAACAUGCCCAAGGUGAAUGAAUUAGGGGCCAGGCAGGCUGCCUGCAGAGCCCACGUGCUCCAGCGCUGCACUCAAGGCUCUGGCUCUCAAGCCUUGUUUUUCCUAGAAUGAUUCCUUAAUCAGUCUAUUAAGACAUCCGCCAAAUUCUUAUAAGAAAAUGCACAAAAGCUCUCCUAAAGGGACCCCACAACGGAAGACUCCUUGCGACAGGACGCAGGAGGAAGGUGGCCAUCUGCAAGCCAGGA